rnacentral:misc_RNA from 1 species
GCUACACAGCACGAGUAUAUAAGAAGAAGAAGCAGGCCGCCUUCUGUACCUGACCUCCAAGCGUUUGAAUAACAUCACACACACAUCCGACAUUCAAGAAUGAAGGCUGCCGUCGCGUUGCUGCUGUUCUCGCUGGUGGCUACCAGCCUCGCUAGCUUCUACUACCCACCUAAGAUCGCGAAGGUCCUCGUCAUUCCUAAAUACGGCUAUGGUGGCUAUGGCGGCUAUGGAGGCUAUGGUGGCUAUGGAGGUUUGGGAGGCUUCGGCGGCUUGGGCGGCCUCGGCGGUUUCGGCGGCUUUGGCGGCCUCGGCGGUUACGGAGGUUACGGAGGCUACAGAGGUUACGGAGGCUAUGGAGGUUACGGACUUGGCGGUGGAGUAAUUGGAGUUGGCAGUGUUGGCAUCCUUGGCGGAGGUUUUGGAGGCUUUGGAGGAUUUGGAGGAUUCGGUGGUGGUCAUGGAGGCAAAUACUAAUGACAUUACUGAUGGACCACACAACUGUGUGUCACCCACUAGGUCGUGGACCUCAGUUUUGACGACAUCAACGUGCAGUAAAAAGUGAACAUACUAAUAUUUAGCCCUGCCUACAUAAAUAAAGUCUUUAUGUUUAA